AGAUAUGAGAGAGAGCCUUUAAGAGAGAAAAAAAAAUUAAGAAAAGGUUUCUUAAUUUUUCUUAGUGGUUAGGAUCAAUCCUCAAGAUCUUAUAUAGGGCUGCUUCAAGUGAUAUGAAGUAAAGUGGCCUGAUUCAAGUCGAAGAUGAAGCUUGCAAGGGAGCUAGUACCCCGAAGGUUUUGGAGUUCUGAUCAAGAUAUCUCUGUGUAGAUACCAGC
rnacentral:lncRNA from 1 species